AUUGAACGCUGGCGGCAUGCUUUACACAUGCAAGUCGAACGGCAGCGCGGAGAAGCUUGCUUCUCUGUCGGCGAGUGGCGAACGGGUGAGUAUAGCAUCGGAACGUGCCAAGUAGUGGGGGAUAACCAAACGAAAGUUUGGCUAAUACCGCGUAAGCUCUAAGGAGGAAAGUAGGGGACCUAAAUAAGGCCUUACGCUAUUUGAUCGGCCGAUGUCGGAUUAGCUAGUUGGUGGGGUAAUGGCUCACCAAGGCAAUGAUCCGUAGCGGGUCUGAGAGGACGAUCCGCCACACUGGGACUGAGACACGGCCCAGACUCCUACGGGAGGCAGCAGUGGGGAAUUUUGGACCAUGGGGGAAACCCUGAUCCAGCCAUGCCGCGUGUAUGAAGAAGGCCUUAGGGUUGUAAAGUACUUUUGUUAGGGAAGAAAAGCUAGUUUUUAAUAAAAAUUAGUGAUGACGGUACCUAAAGAAUAAGCACCGGCUAACUACGUG
rnacentral:rRNA from 1 species